UCAGUUGUUGGAAACUUUGUUGGAGCGUUACUUGGUGCAUCGAUGGGACUAAUUGAAGGACCUAUUUUCUUCUUUGCUGUUGGACUUGCUCAUUACACUGUGUUAUUUGUGACACUUUAUCAAAGACUUCCAACUAAUGCAACCCUACCUAAAGAGCUACAUCCAGUGUUCUUUCUGUUUGUUGCAGCUCCUAGUGUUGCUUCAAUGGCUUGGGCUAAGAUGCAAGGUUCCUUUGAUUAUGGAUCAAGAAUUGCUUACUUCAUUGCCUUGUUCCUUUAUUUCUCCUUGGUAAGUUUUAUUGUCACACUUUUACUUGAAAUAUGCAUAAUUAGUUCUCAUUGAGUAAAGGCCUGUUUAGUUUAUAAAUUUGCAUGGGCAAUUAAGUCAUUGAAAUACUAAAAUAUUAUUAAAAAAUGUUUUUUCUUAUUAAUGUGGUUUCUUCAAAACAAUUUCAGAGAUUAAAUUGACUAACCGAAUAGGACUAAUAUGGUCAAAAAGUUUUAAUCUCAAAGAUCUAAUUGUUUGACCUCUAUAAUUUUAGGGACUAAUAUGGUUAAAUUUUAAAAAAAAUCAAUUUCAAGGGCCAAAUUAUCUGACCUGUAAAAUUUCAGAGAUUAAAUCAACGCUUCAUUCAUAUCAUGAUGAUAUUCACUCCUAAUUUUAUAUGCAGUAUAAAACAAGACCUUACAUAAAUGUCCCAUAUAAUCUAACAAUUUUCAUUAUUUAUGAAAUUGAUGAAAUUUACUCACUAGUUUUAUAUAUUUUUACAGGCUGUAAGGAUCAAUUUCUUCAGAGGAUUCAAGUAAGUUACAUUAUAUCUUUUCCUUAUCUCUUAUAUUGUCUAAUUAAUUUUCUUAUACUAUUGAAUUUUCUUUCAUAAAUUAACUUUUUAUGUUAAUUUUACAGAUUUUCUCUUGCAUGGUGGGCCUAUACUUUUCCAAUGACUGGUGCAGCAAUUGCAACAAUAAGAUACUCAAAUCAAGUACCAAAUAUUGUCACAAAAUCAUUGUGUAUUGCAUUGGCUCUAAUCUCAACAUUCACAGUUAUAGCACUUCUUCUAUCAACAAUAUUGCAUGCAUUUGUCUUCAGAGACCUCUUCCCUAAUGACAUUGCUAUUGCCAUAAGUGAUAGAAAGAGAAAGCCACAUAAACACUGGUUGUUUAGAUAUGGAAGCCAAGACUCCAAAGAGAUUGAAAAUUACUUGAAGUUUGUGAACACUGAUGAAAGUAGUUUGGAUGAUUCUACGCCACAACCGUCCUCAAACGACACUGAUCAUAAUUUGCCAAAAUAAUUCGAUUGCAAGGUUUUAAAUAAGGGUUUGCGAGGAUCUAGGCUGUGACAUCGAUGUUUUUGAUAGUACUUUUGCAUUGGUAUUGGUAAAAUGUCACAAUUUCCGGAUGGUCUAAUAUUAGAAAAAAAAUUGUCAUUUCCUAAAAGCGUUUGUAUUGGUAAUCCAUCGCCUACUCCGGUUCCAAGGCCUACUCCAGUUCCAAAGCCUACUAUGGUUCUAAUGCUAUACAUUCCUCAUGUUGAUUGGAUGCCUUUGUUCAUGUGUCCAUACAUUGAAAAAAAUGUGGAUGUUUUAGGUGAUGGUAAUUGUGGAUUGCGAGUUGUAGCUGUACAUGUUAGUGUGGAUUGCGAGUUUCAAGUUGUAGCUGUACAUGUUAGUGUGGAUUGCGAGUUGUAGCUGUGCAUGUUAGUGUGGGUGAUGAACUCAUUAAAGAGUUAACUAAUCGUGAGAGUGAUUAUAUGCCAGUAUUGGAAGUGAGAAACAUUUUCAAUAUAUCUUGAAUGAUUCGUAUCAUUGAAAAAAUAAUGGAUUUGCACCAAUACAGAAGUGGUACAUUAUUGCAACUUUCAACAAUAAAGUUGUGGUUGAGUUGGCAAAACAUGAAAUCGGUAUUUCUGAAGAAAAAAAAUCCCGGUUAGAGGACAGCCACCACUAAACACAAAUACCUACCUUAUAUGUCUUGGCUUAAUAUGAGAACAUUUUGUUCACGUAUUUUUGAAAGACGGGUGUCGAAUACCUCCAUCAUGCACAAAGUGAAAACUGCACAAGAAAGAGGAAGCAGUGAUAUGAAUAUACUUUUUUGGAUAGACAAUCUUGGUUUUGAGAAAUUAUGGAUAUUGAAAGAGGAGAUCAACCACCCAAGAGAGAAUCAAAUGAAGUGAUUUCCAUUCCUCUUGAUAGUGAAGAUGAUGAACAUAAGAAUUUAAAGAGGAUGAAAAUGAAGAAGCAAUUUCACUAUAUAUGAUAUGACACUUUACUUGUUGAUUAUAAACGAUAAAUUGGUGUACUUCUUGUUAAAUGAUGUUUCCGACAAACAUGUCGUUUCGUGUCAUGGUUGUGCAUUCAAAUAUUGCAGACCGCAUUUAUCUCCAGAAAUGAUAAUUAACUCCUGUUGCUCACAACACUAGUUAGCUAUCGUUCCUGGAGCUAACUAUUGCUGGUAGCUAAUAAUAAUUAACCGUCGUUAAGGGUAUUUUCGUCAGUUUAGAGUGUCUGAGAGCAAAUGGUGGGUGACUAAAAAUUUCCAGGGGCAAAUACUAUAAGUGGAUUGUUCUUUAGGCACCUAUAAUAAUUGCUCACAAACACCUACAGGACAAUAGUUAACUGCCGAACAAAGAAAUUUUUUAGAGAGAUUAAAACAAAAAUUGAUAUAUUUAUAUAAAAUCCAGAAGCAUAUUUAACCUUUAAAUACUAACAAAAACAAUAGUUUGUUAAGUAAAUCUAUCUCUAAAAUAUAAAGAUAAUUGUUUUGGUAAGAAGCAUUCAGUUGAUCUAAUUGUUUCAGACCGUCCAAGGAGCAAUAUUCACAUUUGAAAUUACCAAAAACUACAACUUGAGAGUUGAUUUCUUAACAAAAGUUGCCCUUGAAUCCAUUAUGAAAGUAUCCCCCACAAGCUGCCAUGGGUGGGUUGCAAACUGCACAUCCAUCAAUGUUAAUAAUGCUAGUAGAGACUGAAAUUUCCUAGUAUUACGUACCUACACAUUUCAGAAAAAAAUAAAUUAAUAUCAUAUUUUUUUAGGAAUAAUUUAAAGGCUUAAUCGUAUAUUUGACCCCAAAAGUUUCAUUAUUGUGCAAUUUUGACCCUCCUAAAUUUUUUGUCCGAUUUUGGCCCCCCAAAUUUACCCCUUGAUUUUGUAACCCACACUUCAAUUUUGCGUUGAGUUGGAAAUUUAAUAACAUGGCAUCCUUGUCACUUGGCCACAUUCAAUAUUGAUAAUUUAAAAUAAAAAUAAAUAAAUAAAGUCAAAUUGAAUGGUAACUGGACAUGUUAACACACCUUAUUUAAACCCUAAAUAGAAUGAAGGUUUGAUUCAGAAGAAAUUCUUGUGUUUCUUCAAAGCUGCAACAAUUAUUAAAAUUGUCAACUAUGCGCAAAAUUCUAGUGGGAGCUAUGAAAUUAGAAAGAGGAUAAAUUUGAGGGAUCAAAAUCGUAAAAAAAAAAAUUGGGAGGUCAAAAUCACACAAUUGAGAAAUUUUGGGGUUAAAAUUAUAAUUAAGCCUAAUUUAAAUGGGGUCAUCGAUCAUAUUAGUCACAAUUUUUUUUUGAUAGGCCAAGAGCAAAAUGACAUCAAAAAGAACCAUGAAUUUCUAUAAAAAUUUCUAUAAAUUGGUGUGCUUCGUUCAACUAUUGCAAAAUACAACAAAGAACCAUGAACACUUAUCUAGUAGAUCCGAACACCAACUUAGAAGCAAUUUACUAAAAAGGGGGGAACCUCAAUCUUUUCAAGGUUCGGGUUGAUGUCACAGUGUCUCAGUUGAAGGAUCAAUUGGACCAAAUCGGCCUCCGACUCAACCACAAAGACAGAAGGAGGGUGGACAGUGUUGACUAUUGUCGUCCAUAUCGAUCAUUGUAAAUGGAAGUGUCUAGUUCACCGAGAUAAAGCUCAAGAACGACGACGAUUUCAAAACCAUGUUCUCAAUAUUUGAUCAACAUAGUAUGAAAGGACUGACCAAUUUUGACGCUUCAUUGGUCAGAUCUGUAGAAGAAAUUUGAAAAAUAUUUAUUCAGCUCAAGACUUAUGAAGAAUUUAAGGCUAGCAUGGAUAUACCAAAUGAAUAUUUAAGUUUGGACAAUCUAUGAUCUUUUUUGUGUGAUUUAUUAUGUUGUUUUAUUCUGUUGGUGAAAUUUUUAUUAUUAAUGUACGUUGUUGAAAUACAAUUUAUCGUGUUGUGAACCUUGCUAAACCCUCCAAACAUCAAAUUUUUAUAAAGUUUGAGUUGAUUCGAAUUAUAUAAUCUGAAAAGCUAUGUGAAUAAUUCAGAUUAUAUAAUAUGAACUAACUCAGAAUCGAUUGUGGCAUUACAGACAAGGUAUGGACAGUUUGUUAUGUGUUUAAUACUUUUUUGGUCGGUUUACAUGCUCAAAAAAGUAUUAUUUGACUGUAAUUACAAUCUAUGAACGAUUUAUGACUAUAAAUAGUCUUAUAUCCUUCAACAUUUACAUUUAUUCUCCACUUUUUGUUCAUUUUAAUAUUUUGUUUCUUCUAUUUAUUUUUGAAAUUUAUUUUUUCUAAAGGUGGAAGAAAAAACUCAAUUAAAGAAUUGAGUGGACCAUGUGUGGAUGUUCAUAAACUCGAUAAAAAGAAACUCUAGCCAAGUGGCCUUCAUUAUGUUGCUAAUUGUUUAGCACAAAAGCAAGGGUUUUACUUGUUUUGGACUUGAGUGGGUGUUCAUGUACACUAUUGUUAUAUUUUUGUUGAAGGUAAGAGAAAUAAAAUAUUUGAUAAGAUUUUUUUAAAAAAAUUUAAUAAAUAAAAACACUUGGACAUGUACUUCUUGAGAGGUUGGAUAAUUUGGACAUGUACUUCUUGUACAUUGACAAUUGUCUGAUGAUAUAACAAUGCAAAUUGCUGACAUCGUUAGAUCGAAUUUUAGAAAGCAAGAAACCUUUUUCAUUUCUUGAUCAAUGGAAAGCAAGAACCUAACUUUUGUGGCUCAACGUCGUUUCAGUUAGGUUUUUAUUAGGUAUUUUCUAAAGUUGUCUAUUUAAAUAAAAAUAAAAAAUAAUGAUGGACUUCGAGUAACAUCCACCACCAUUAGUCCAUUACAUUUCAUAUGAUAUUUAUCGAGGUUUUUAUUUGUAAUCAUAAAUAAACAUGUGAUGUGAUAAUGUUUUCUUUCAAAAAGAUAAACAUGCGAUAAUGUUUAAAAAUUUAAAAUAGAGUUUUGUAGUUUAUGUCAUUCUAUCUGGCCGAUGAGUUAAGAUAUUUGUUUAUAUCAAAUUCAAUUAUAAAUUUUUAAAUUGAAGCUCAAGAGGGAUAAGUUCAGUAAAUUUGACUCUAUAAUCUAAAUGUAUUUAGUGAUAUGACUAUUAUUAUAGUUAUAAAUGAUCAGUAACGUCAUUGUAUUUUUUUUUUUGUGUGAAUUAAAACAAACAAAUGAAAAAUAACAUAAAAGACACGCUAAGUGUCUAGGCGUUCCCACAUACCUGAUCUAAGAGGCCAGAUGGCGAAGAUGACCAUGUAGUGACACCAUGACGGAAGAAUUCUCAUAUUUUACAAACCAAUCAACACUAAGAUUAGCUUCUCGAAAUAUAUGAUGCAGGACCAAUUCUGGGGAUGGUCGAUCAAACUUGUCAUCCUUAGCAGUAAUGAAUUAUAUGCUUAAAACUCUAACUUAUUUCUUCGAGUCAGCAACCGAAUAGCCUCAAGGCUAUCUGAUUCUAUAAUUGCUCUUGAAUGUUCAUGUUGAAGUAGAAGAGUGAUACCAUGAUAAAUUGCAAAAACCUCAGCAAAUAGCACAUCACCACCAUCAUUGGAGAAAAAACCAAUAAGCCAGGUACCUUUCUCAUCCCAAAUAAGACCACCUCUACCAAUCACUCCUUCUAAGUUGCAACUUCCAUCAACAUUCGAUUUCACAAGACCUUGUUGUGGAGGUGGCCAUCGCACCUCCUUUCUAAUCUUAUUAUUUGUUCCUUUGUCAAGCAGAUGAUGAUCUAUAUUCUAAUGCAAUGUAUGAAUGUAUCUAAGUAUAUUAUACUUCUUCCAUUGGUUGUCACCUAGGAUUCUAUGAAUUUGCCAUCUCCAUACCCACCGCAAAGUGGAUAGUAAGACUUGAGGAGAUUGAGAUUGAAGACCUUCCUUAAUCCAAUAUUGUGUCUUCAAUGUUGAGAAGAAGUGUCGAGUAUACCUUAUAGGAAUAGCUUUCCAAAUCUCUCGUGCAAAGUGACAAUCCCUUAAGCAAUGCAAGACAUCUUCAUUAGUUAGAAAGAAACUACCACAUGGAGCACUAGCCGUGAGAUUGCACCUUCUUCAAAUAUUGUUGAUAGGGAGCGCUUUGUGGAGGCAAAGCCAAACAAAGUGUCGGAUUUUCUCACGCACUUUAAUUCUCCAAACCCAGUUCCAAUCAUCUAAUGUGUUUCAAGUUCUAUUGCGAGCUAACAACCAAUCAUAGCCAGAUUUAUAGGUAUAUAAGCCUUAUCUUAUAGUAAUUCCAUAUACACAUAACAUGUCACUCUUCAUUAUAAGUAACAUGAGGAGGGUGUCGGUCAACAAACUCAACAAUUUUAGAAGGUACAUUAGUCAAUAAAGAAUUACAGUUCCAAAACCCAUUUGAGCUAACCUCCCUAAGCGUUAGAUGAGUAUAUAAGAUGUUGACAAAAUCAACCUCUUGGCACAAUCUCCCCAUCCUAGUCCAAUCAUAAAACCAAAAUGAAGAACUUCGUUCACUAAUGCGUAACUAAAACCUUUUAUAAGAUUGUAGUUGAAUCCAAUAUACUUCUCCAAACUAAAGAAGGGCUUCCAUUGCUUUGCUGCUCCAUAAAGAUCCAUGCUUAAUCUAUUUGCACUCAACAAGCGCACCUAUAGUUUGUUCUUAUCAUGUAACAAAAUCCACACCAAUUUUUCAAGUAAGGCUAAAUUAGUGUUAUUAGCAUCUCUAAUAGCUAACCCUUCAAAUUUUCCAAGUAAGGCUAAAUUAGUGUUAUUAGCAUCUCUAAUAGCACACCAUUUAUCCAUGUUCCACUUUCUUGUUACUCCAUUUCCUCCACAAAUGAAGCUUUUAGUAAUCUUAUCAAUACCAUCAAACAAUUCUUUAGGGAGAGGAUUAAUUUGCAUAUGAUAUACUGGUAUGGAGGUUGUGACUGAUUUCGCUAAGAAAACUCAUGACUCUACCAAGAACUAAAGGAAAACCCAAAUAAUGGCCAAACGGAUCAACUGAGAUACCCUAAAUAUCUCUUUUAGUCCUCUCCAGAACUCUCUUCGAACACAUUGCUUUCGAUUUGAUCACAUUGACUUUCAAACCUAAAGAAGAUCAAAACUCAUUGAAUGUAUCAAUAACCACUUGUACCUAUGUGUAUUAGCUACACAAAAUAAGAGAACAUCAUCAAUAAAAUCAUUAUUAUUAAUAAUACUUAUCGCUUCAUUAAUUUUUUAAUUUAAAAAAAUUCCAAAUUGUUUUUCAAAUUUUCCCAACUAUGCAUAUCGAUCUCUAUAUAUGUUUCAAAAUUUGAAUCUUAAAUUUUGUCAUUUUGAUUUUUUUUCAUAUUAUGUAAAUUCGUCAAACAUGUUACAAAUUUUACACAAUACAUGUCCCUUUAAAAAAACUUUCUUAAAAUUUUUCAUAUUGAUCUACAUUUUUUCUCUUUCAAAAUUUGCAUAUUGGUACCUCAAGUUUUCUAAAGUUACUAAUAUUUUAAAAUUCCCAUUGUGUACCUCUUUUCUUUUGAUAUUUAUACCUUUAUCACAAUUUUUUUGCAAUUUAAACAAAUAGGCCAACUCUUAUAACCUUUUAUAUACACCAAACAUAAAUACUUUAGAUCAAAUAAUAUUAAUUAAUUCAUCUAAACAAAAAAAUAAAGAUUUGUUUGAGAUAUUUAUUAUCCGUACAUCAUAAAGAUUAAUCAACAUGUGCAACCACUAUUGGCCUGUACUGGUCAUAUAUUCUCCUAGAACAUUCGUAGAAACUUAGAUAUAUAGCAAGACAAAAUAUAUUCGUCAUGAAGAUUCGCAGAAAUAUAUAGAUACAUAGCAUAUGUAGGGUAUCAUAGUCACGCAUAUUGUUCUCAUAUAAACAGACAAAGAUAAAGAGGCGUGUUAAAACAAUACUGUAGGCCAUUAAUUAUAUGUCAAAUUUCAUGUCACACCGUUUUCUUACAAAAAAAUGUCACACCAUUUUAGCUGCAAGUGGGGGCACAUAAAUUGCUAGUUCCAGCUUUGGUUGGUGUCAUAUAAUUUGAACCACGUCUUUGACUAAUUAUUCAGGUUCUUCAUGUUGCCAACUUGAUAAUGGUAGCUCUAUAUCCAUUACUAAAAAAAACAAAAAUUAGUGAGGGAAAACAUAAAAUCGCUCUCUAAUUCUGUCACUAAAUUUUGCGAUUAAGGAAUUUGUGAUUUUUUUGUUUUCCGUCACAAAUUUCCCUCCCUAAUUUUGCUUUUCCUAGUAAUGAUCAAGCACAUUUCUUGUUGGCUCUACCAAAUUGACCGUAUGAUCAUGUUUCAAUUGAACAAUAUUGAUCAAGUGAGGGGUUCAUAAUGUUGCCUAUCGAGUAAACAAAAUCUAUUAAGAAUCCCAUAUCAGAUAGAUGAUGGUCUAACAAUGUGUUUAUAGGUGAUGGCCCCACAUCGGAUAGGACCGCCGGUUUAGCAUGCUGUUUUUUGUGGGGGCUGGUCGGCCAACUUAACUUGUUUUUCUUUCUUUUUUUAGAAUGAUUUCAUCCUUUUGAUUUAUAUUGGUUGUUGGACUUAUUUUAGGAUUUGUUUAUGUUGCGAAUUUGUUUUAUGUUGACGCCUUUUCUUUAUUUUGCGAUUAAGUAUGAUGUUAAGUUCGAAAUUUGAUUUUUUUUUUUUAAAAACAGUUCGAUAAUUGGUUAAUUAUCUUAUUUUUACCAUAAAUUUAUUUGAUGUUUAUGUUUUUAUAUUUGUUUUUAUGAUAAAAUCUAAAUAGUUUUUUUUUUUUGAGAAAAAAAUAGUGUUUUGUUAUAAUUAAGUUGUAAAAAAAUGCAUUAAAAAAUGUUGUUGUUUUUUCUUUAAAAAAAGAAGUUUUCUGUUUGGCGGGCCGGCCUGCCAACUCGUAUGUCCACCACUAAACGGGAUAGGGGGAGAUUUUGGACUCGGCCAUCUAAUUUGACUCGGCCCGUCUCAUCCUGUUUUAAGCAGACUUAUGCAGGGCGAGCCGACCCGCUUUGCUAUCCCUAAUUUCUUAUUGGAUAAUGCUAGACCCAGCUAAAAAAACUUCCUGAAAUCAUAUUGAAACUAUCCCAUUGGUUAUUGACUCGUUAAUUAUUUCAAAUGACUUUUUUUUUAAGGAAUUAUGCCAAAAGCCAAAUGACUAUUGAAAGUUUUUUUUGACAAAAAAAUUACUAUUGAAAGUUGUCUAAUGUAUACUCCUAAAAUUUUGCGACUCCGAUUCCGAGAUAUAUAGUCAUACCCUUUCAUUUUUAUAUUCAACAUUUAAUUCAUUUAUACUUGAAAAAUACUCGCAUUUGAAAAUAACAAUUUGCUACGUUAUUUAUUAACAAUUAACAAUUGUCCUACAAAUUAAUGAAGAGUUUAACAAACAACUUGAUUUUGUUUGCAUAUAAGUAAAAGAGAAAGAAUGGAAUAUUUUUCGUCAUUUUCCUUCAAAAGCAGUGAAAGAAAUGUGUGAGUGGGAUCAACUCAUCCACGUCCAUCAUGCAAGGGAAACCGCACAAGUAAACUGUUUGAGAAAAAUACCAAAAAUACUUUAUUCCUUGUGGCUAUGUACUAUACUAUUUUUUUUUAAGGCUUAAUAAGAGUUUUAACCUCUUAACUCUUCCAAAGUUGCAAUUUUGGUCUCCUAAGAAAAAAAUUAUUAAACCGUCCACAAAGUUUUACAUAUAUGGCAGUUUUCGUCCCCAAUGCCAAUUUUGACUCGGUCUACGCUGACGUGGCACCCUAAGUGAGGUGCCACGUAUUUUUUUUAUUUAUUUUUUACCAAAAUUUGGCUUUGAGGGGGCCAAAACUGCUACAGUUGCAAAAUUUAAAUGAUGGUUUUGUAGAUUUUUUUAAGGAGCUAAAAUCGCAACUUCAUAAAAGUUAGGGGGCAAAAAGGAUGUACUAUACUAUAUAGUGUUUGUGUUUAUUGCUUAUGUACCAUAGAAAUAUACAUCAUUAAAAUUCUUAAAAGACCAUUUUAUUGUCCAAGUUGUACAACCCAAUUCAAGGAUAACUAGUUGAUUUUGUUGUAGCACCACUUGUGCUGUUUCAUUUUUUGGUGUUGAAAGUGCUUUGUUGGCAUUGAUUUAUGUGGUAAUCAUGGGAAAUCUAGUAGGGUUUCAGGAAGGAAUCUAUUGAGUGUUAUCCUAUGUGAUUCGUGGAUCAAAGUCUGAUUGCAAUUGUAUGGCCCUCAAUAGAUCACUGGACUUACUAAGGUGUGUUGUGUGCAAUUUCAUAGUCUCUUUUACAUCGAUCUAUAAAGUAAAGAUAUGGACACGGACAUCGAACACGACACAGAUACUAACAUGUCGACACCGCUAAUAUAAGUUGAGAAAAUCACCUAAUUCCUUGUAAUUAUAUGUAUCAAUGUCGUGUCGGUAUCAGACACAACACGUGUCCGACAUCAGGACACGUUUUACCCAAAGAGUGUCCGUGCUUUAUUGGCGGUGAUUGAAUCCUUUAAUGGAUUAGGGUUAAGCUUAUUUCGAACCAUUAUAUUUUUAUAUUAGGUCAAACUCAUACUUACAAAUCGGUUUAUAAAGUGAAAACUGCACCCACUUAUAAACACGAGUAGAUUUAGACCUCACAAAGUUGAACCGGCUUAUUCUAUCUUUAUCCACACCCCAGCAUAUCAAAUGUCAUCGUAGUUGUAUGCCAUUUAAGCGCAAUUCUGUGACAAUGUGUUUUUUUAUUAGAAAUUUUGUUGUGUUUUAAUCUUUUGAUGAAUUUUUUUUGUUUUAUUUACUAUUCAUUUUGUCCCAACCAUCAUCUUCUUGAUUGUGAUUUAUCAAGAGUUAUCAUAAUCUAAAACAACAACAUCACCAUCUUCAGUUGACUAUAACACAUUACAAAUAUAUAUUUCCACGGCUACAAGAAAGGAAAAGUACCUUACGUUUCCAUUUUUUUUAUAUUCUCCCAAUAUAUAUAUUAUGAAUUUGGGAAGUUUUCAUUUUCAAUUUGGUUUGAAAAAUGUGGUUGGUGACAACUGUUGUACUAAACAAGUGAAAUCUAUUUGUCAUCGUUGAAUGAGAGAAUUUUUUUUUUUUUGUGAAAUAUGAAAAACCUUUGUGUUCCAAUUAAACAAAAAUUGCAGCUUAAUCUUGGUUGUCAUGAUAGGGAUACAUACAGAAAAGGAACCAUACUAAUCCUUUGACUUUCAUAGUUGGUGUUGUACUUUUCUUUUUGUUGUUGUAAUAAAAGUGUUGUACUUUCAAAUUUAGAUAACAUUUCAAUCACCUAAUAAAUUUGGUUAACAACAAAGACAACACAGUCUAAAUUUAUAUGGGCUGAAAUAAUUUAAUUGGAUAUGUAUGAAUUUCAAUUAAUUAGGAAAAUAUGUUGAGUAGUGUGUUUAUACUAAUACACACUUUGUCCCAAAUUUAGCGGCAAAAAUGGCGAAAUUGUUAGAAUAGAUGUUGUGAAUGUGGUUCAAAUCCUGACUCAACUAUUUGUAUACAUGAGUUUUCGAUGGCUAAUGCUCUUCGUCUAUCUAGCAUACAACACUUAGAUUUUUUUUUCCUGAAGUUGUUGUAAGGUGUGGAAUAUCCCCCCGACUUUGACAAUGAUUAAUCUACUUCAAAAACCCUGACUAGUCAAUUUUAUCGAGAUUUCCCAUUCCAUUCCAAUUUUUUUGUCAACAAGACUAGUGUCAGAUAGUUAUCUAAAUGAUUUGAGUCGAGUUUCACUCGAAUAAAAUGUUGGUUGUCAACUUAUAUUUUUGUAGACAUAUUGAAAAGAAAAAAAAAAAAAACUCUUUUUUUCUAAGCAAACUUAUUAAUUAGAUUAUAAGAGGUAUUCAAAAUAAACUCAUUAUAUAGAGAUAUGGUUACAUUAUUUAAAUACAUGAUAAUGGACUAUGAAACCAAUCAGAAAAAGUGAGCUUUUUGUCUCUAUUGGAUGUUAAUAAACUACUCGUGAUAAUCUUUUGAUACUAUCAAUCACCUUCGUAACGACCUAUCCGUUAAAUAAAAUAAUGUUUCUCUCCAAUCAAAUGCAUCAACAUGUUGAUAAUCAAAAUAAAUGUGAUGCCUUAUACACUUUCUACUCCAAAAAUGCCUUAUUCUCUCUUUUUGAAUGAUACCAUAAUUUCACAAUUUUGAUCUCAACCCAUAAUUUUUAUCCAAAAAUGGUUAUUUUUAGUUAUAAAAGUGGCAUGUUCUUUUCAAAUUUAUAAUUGAGCAAUAAAUCGCCAUUUGUGUGCUAAAAAUACUAUUUAUGAGGUAGAAAUAUAGGUGUGAAUUAAAAUCACAACAUAUAUGAUAUUUAAGAGAUCAAAAAGUUUAACAAAAGCUUAGACAUUUUUGCUUAAGCCAACUUUUUUUUGACAAAAGCUUGAGCCAACUUGUUCACUUUUGUUUCCUUUUAACACACUCAAUAUUGAAAAAGACCAACUAAGAGCUUAUUAUCACUAAAUUAAAUCUUUUCAUUUUUUUUCUUUCAAAUUCGAUUUAUUUCUCGUCUGCCUUUCUUGGUUUGGUGAGAGUUGAGAAUAUUUGUUACCUAUUCUUUUGUCUUGUAAACAACUUUUAUUUUCUUACUUGUUUCCUUUUUCUUAUUCCUAUUUAUGCUUUUUUCUAAAAAAAAUUAGGUGUUAUGUGUUAAUUGUUAAGCCUCUUAUUUUCGUGGGAAAGAAACCCUAAUAAUCUAGAGUUCGAUUGAAUGUAUGUAAAGAAUUAUCAAAGAUUGUUUCAUCUGCAAAUCAACACACAUAUUCUUUUGAACAAUUCGUCUAUGAUAAAACCAUUAUUUUAGAAAAAUAAUGUUUGAUGAAAUUUAUUAACCCCUUAAAUUUAAUACUUUAUUAUUUUUCUCAUUUUUUUUCAUUCAUGAACUGCCUUUGCAAUUUAUUGGUCCCAAAGUUUAUGAAGGGCAUUAAAAAUUUAGGCAAAAAUAGCUAGGUUACUCCUUUAUGUCAAUGUAGUUUAUUAGUAAAUUAGGCAAAAUAUUAUGAUUUUUUUUUCUCAAUCUUUUUCAUUCAUAGACUCCCUUUUCAGAUAUAUGGGUGCCAAAUUUUAUGAUGGGCAUUAAAAAUUUAGGCAAAAAUUACUAGGUCACUCUUUUAUGUCAAUUUAGGUUAUUAGGUACCACUCCUAUUUUAUAAUUUUUUUUCUCGAUCUUUUUGCAUUCAUAGGCUCACGGUUAUUAGGUACCACUCCUAUUUUUUUAUUUUUUUCUACUAAUACCUCAAAUUCGUCCUUGAAUUUUAAAAAAUCGGUCAAAUUCGUCACUGAAUUUUAUGAAAUAUCUAUUAACUCCCUGAAUUUUACAGACGGCCACCAAAAUGGUCCCUCCGUCCAAAAGCUCCGGUAGUGGUGAUGACGUGUCCUCUUGCAUGUUGUGUUGUCAUGUACACGUGUCAACAAGGCAGCCACGUGUACAAGGACUAAUUUGAUGGAAAUGGUAAAAAUUCGAGAUUUAACUUUUCAGUGUAAUUUUUCCUGUGUUCCAAUUAUACCUCGCUAUUACAUAAGGAUCGAUUUGAGACUUACUGGCAUAAUUUGAGGACUAAUUUGAUGGAUUUUGUUAUAAUUUAAGGACUGAUAUGAUUGAUUUAUUUCCAGAGAAUGAGUACAAGGAGAUAUGGCAUGAGAGGACCUGUGAUUUUAAAUGACAUGCAUAAACAAACAUCACUGAGGGAUCCUGCUCCACAAAAACCAACCGCUCCUAGAGUUAUUAGAGUUCCAAAUUCAAAUUACGGGUCAUCCGCUUCUACUCAACCCCAAUACAUGGAGUUUAUCCCAACUCUAGGAUUUCCAAAGCAUUGAUGUUUGUUUGAAUUAUGCUUUUUGGAGUUGUUUAGUGUAUGCUUUUUUGGAUUUGUAAUCACUUAAGAACAUCAAAUGAUUUGAUGACUUGAUGGCUAUGUAAUGAUAUUUGUUUGGCUAUGUAAUGACUUAUGAACAUCAAAUAUAUGACUAAUGAUGGUAUGCAAAUGUCUGUCUUUUUAUAAUCAAAGUGUUUGUCUUUUACUUUUUACUUUGUUCAGCAAAUGUAUGCACCAAGGAUCACAGUGAUAUCUGUUGUGAAAAUUCAAGGACCUGUUUGAUGGUAUUUUUACUAAUUUGAGGAUCGAUAUGCAUAUAAUUCAAGGACCAAUUUGAUUGAAACUUUUUGACAUAAGGGUUUGAUUCAUUCAUUGACCACCUCUUUUCAUUACAACAUUACAACAUUACAUGAACUUGGCACAAUAGAAUAGCAUUUUAAACAACUCAAUCAAACAAAAUACUUCUAUCAAUAUCGUAAUCAACCUAAGCUGACUUCCUACACAAUCAACCUUGCCCUCCAAACCUCUUCUCUGCCCCUAUCAUUUGGCUUCUCCAUCAACCUUGCAUUUCUUCUAUGACCAGCACCAUUGUUUUUAAAAUAACCUAGUUCUUCAGCUUCAUCAACUCACACAAAAAAUUUACAAUUUUCACCAUCAUCAUAUACAAUCAAAAGACAAAAUAAGUACUAUUUAAACAAACCAUUCACACAUCACAUAACCUUUGUUAAACAAACCUUUGGCAGAGGGCAGACAUAGAAAGGCUUUCUUGGGUUAUUGAUAGUGUUGGCUUUUCUUACAACACAAAUUCUAUGACACCAACAUUGAAGCUCUCUCACCUCAUCAUUGUACAUAGAGCUUGAAGAUGAACACCGACUGUUGUAGUUGUUUUUGCCCAUACGCCCACCGCCCUUCAUUUCUGAACACCGAAUCUUCAACAAUGACCACUGGUUUUUGAAUUUUGAAUUGAAUCAAAAAAAUUAGGGUCUUAAAUUUUUUGAAUUGGGGAAGAACAUUGACAUCAAUUCAUGGAAGAAAUUUGGGAGAUUUUGAACUCUAGGUAACAAAUUAUAACAUUAGGGUUCCAAAUUUAUAUAUUUGGGGAAGAAAGAGC
rnacentral:lncRNA from 1 species